rnacentral:rRNA from 1 species
AUUGAACGCUGGCGGCAGGCCUAACACAUGCAAGUCGAGCGGAUGAAGGGAGCUUGCUCCUGGAUUCAGCGGCGGACGGGUGAGUAAUGCCUAGGAAUCUGCCUGGUAGUGGGGGAUAACGUCCGGAAACGGGCGCUAAUACCGCAUACGUCCUGAGGGAGAAAGUGGGGGAUCUUCGGACCUCACGCUAUCAGAUGACCCCAGGUCGGAUUAGCUAGUUGGUGGGGUAAAGGCCUACCAAGGCGACGAUCCGUAACUGGUCUGAGAGGAUGAUCAGUCACACUGGAACUGAGACACGGUCCAGACUCCUACGGGAGGCAGCAGUGGGGAAUAUUGGACAAUGGGCGAAAGCCUGAUCCAGCCAUGCCGCGUGUGUGAAGAAGGUCUUCGGAUUGUAAAGCACUUUAAGUUGGGAGGAAGGGAAGUAAGUUAAUACCUUGCUGUUUUGACGUUACCAACAGAAUAAGCACCGGCUAACUUCGUG